UACGAAGGGGGCUAGCGUUGUUCGGAAUACUGGGCGUAAAGCGUGCGCAGGCGGUGAUGUAAGACAGAUGUGAAAUCCCCGGGCUCAACCUGGGAACUGCAUUUGUGACUGCAUCGCUGGAGUGCGGCAGAGGGGGAUGGAAUUCCGCGUGUAGCAGUGAAAUGCGUAGAUAUGCGGAGGAACACCGAUGGCGAAGGCAAUCCCCUGGGCCUGCACUGACGCUCAUGCACGAAAGCGUGGGGAGCAAACAGG
rnacentral:rRNA from 1 species